GUCUAUGUUUGUGGGGUGGGAGAUUCGCUACAGAGAGAAUCUGAAGCGCGUGUGUGUGUGGUGAGAAUGCUGACAUUUGGAUUUGAAAUCGGAGUGAUUCAUCAGCUGUCAAACAGGGGGGGGGGGGGGGUUUCUUUUGAAUGCUCAGGAUACAAAGCCAGAUAGGUCAAAGUUCAUCCUUCAGAAGUAAAUAUGUCUGAAGAUGUCUGAGGUAAAAUUGCUCUAUGACGGUAUUCUCUUUGGUACACUUUGACUUUUGGUUUUGUGUCCUCUGUUAACUACACAUACGUCUUUUCCCUGUGAAAAUUAGGGCUGAACGAUUUGGGAAAAUAAUGUAAUUGCGAUUUUUUACCAAAAUAUUGCGAUUGCGAUUCGAUAUGCGAUUUUUUUUUUUAUCCUCUUUUUUUCCCAACAAAACGUAAUGAAUGAUUUAAAUAUGACCAACACAAUAUUAGAUACAUUUAGUGUAAAAUAUUUUUUCCCACAUUUUACAUUUUUAUUUAACUGCUCAUUACAGAAACAAGAACAACAAAUCGGUGGCUUUGCCACUGUGCAUUUAAGUAAUUUAAAAAAAGUAAUUUUAAGUAUAAACACUAGGCAUGCACUUUUUAAACACUGUGUGCAAAAUGUACCAUCUUAAAAAAAAGAUCUUUUUUUUUUAGACCACGUUUUUUAAUCGCGAACGUUGCGGUUAGAAAAUCGCGUUCUAUCAUAUCGCGAUUAAAUCGCAAAUACAAUUAAUCGUUCAGCCCUAGUGAAAAUGCGCUAACGUACAGUACAUAACGAUAAAGAUAACAUCUAUUAAAUAGAAACAGUGUUCGCAGUCAUCGUGACUAAAAAACUUGUAUCCGAUUUUGGCACCUUUGAGCCCUUUGUUCAUACUGAAUCGUAAGAUGGGCCAUAUACGUAUAAUCUAGUUAAUAAUAUACAAUUAUGAGAACAAUUAUUUAUGCUUGGCGAAGGUAAAAACAACAGACGCUCGCCGGAGGAGCGAAGCGAUGGUGAGAUGGUGAGCAGAGCUGAAUCAUGGCAUUUAAAUAGGCUCGGGCUGAUCCAGUGGCUGCCAUUGAGGCGAUGGUGAGAGAUUUCAAUGUAAUUCUAGCAGCUACAUGGAGUCAGUGAAGGGUGACUAGCAGAGGAGUUACAUGUGUCCUCUUUGGCUGAUCAAAGACAAAACCAGUAGAGGAGUUACACGUGUCCUCUUUGGCCGAUCAAAGACAAAACGCACCGCCGCAUUCUGAAUCAUCUCCAACGGUCUCAUUACACAUGCAGGCAGGCCUGUGAAAAUUGCAUUGCAAUAGUUUAGUUUAGGAAUAUACAAGUUUAGGAAUAACCAGGGCCGAAACAAGAAAUUGUGUUCCAUAUUGUGUGAGAAACAAAAGUGUGAUCUUCCAAAUAUGAUAGAGAGAAAUUAAGUUGGUCAUCAAUCGGAACACCCACGUUUCGUGCAGUUUUAUUUGGGGUCAAUGAAGAUGAACGAAGUUGGAUGUUAAUAUUUUGUAUUAUUAUUAUAAUGAUAUGUUUUGUGGGAUAGCCAGAUUGGCUGGGAAGCUCAGGAGCUCAGUUUUCAAAAGAUAUGAGCCGAAGGUGGGGGAGGACAGUUGAGUAUCAUCAGCAUAACAGUGAUAUGAGAACCCAUGGGAAUGGAUGAUCUCACCUGAGGAAGUGGUGUCAAUAGAAAAUAGGAGAGGUCCAAGUACCGAUCCCUGAGGUACACCAGUGGUUUUUACACCUGACCCUUCCCAAGACACACUGAAUAAACAUCCACUAGUUCGGAUGACGUACAGAGGAGGAUGUCAUGGUUCACUGUGUCAAAGGCUGCUGAAAAGUUUAGUAAAAUCAGAACUGAUGACUGAGCAGAGGCUUUUGCCACUAUCAAUCCUCACAGUCACAGAUAAAAGAGCACAUUCAGCAGAAUGACCACUCUUAAAAAGAGACCGCUUAGGGUCUUCUGAGAGAGGAAAUCAGAAAAGGGAAGAAGGGAGGCAUGUCUAUAAUUCUUCACAUUAGAUUUCUUAAGCAAAGGAGUAACCCAAGCCUGUUUAAAUGAUGUCAGAUCUGUGUGUGUCUGUGUCUGUGUGUGUGUGUGUGUGUGUGUGUGUGUGUGUGUCUGUGUCUGUGUCUGUGUGUGUCUGUGUGUGUGUGUUCAUGUGUGUCUCCCGAACUGAGAGAAGCAUUGACUAAAUGUGUGAAAUUGUAGACAAGAUAAACCGGAGAAGGAUGGUUGGAAUGGGGUUCAGAGGAAAUAUUGUAGGAUGACUACACUGAAGAAUCUUAGAGACUUGUACUCGGGAGAAUAAACUCACUGAUGCUCCGAUGUCAAGACAAAGUAAAACCCAUUUAGAAGGAUCAGAAAAUCACAGACUAAUGUUGGCAACAGUUUUAGUAAAGAAAAUCACAAAUUCACCAGCAGAGAGGGAGGUAACUGGUGGUGGAAGUGAAGGGUGAAGGAGAUUCUAGAAAGUAGAUUUUACAUUUACAUUUAGUCAUUUAGCAGACG
ensembl:lncRNA